rnacentral:lncRNA from 1 species
GUCAUCCUUUUGAAGUUGUACUUAACUGUAGAGGAUUUGUAUUUUGUGUUUUACUUUUCCGGGCUAUGAUCUAGAUAAGAAAUUCUUUAUUUCGGGGAGGUCAUGACAUUGGUAAUUUGUGUGAAUGUUGUUCUGUCAAAUAUCUUUUGAAUUUCCUGUGAUCCUUUUGUUUUUUACAUGUAUUGUUUCGUAAUAUGAGCAUGACAACCUCACAAACUUAACUUCGGAGUGCUGACAACAGAGAGCGGUUGUAUAUUGAAAGACUGCAUUGACAAAUAUAUAUCCACAUUCAUACAUUCAGUACAUAAAAGUAAGAUGUGAUUCGAC